UCAGUCAGCGCUGAGAAUAACAGAAACUAACCAGGAUUCCCUUAGUAACGGCGAGUGAACUGGGAUACCACACGCAUGUCGUUGGCUCUUCGCCAGCUGACAUAUUAGCCCGUCGAUACUAUCCUAGCAUAACAUAUCUUGGCCUCGGCCUUGGUAUACCAAUUAUGCGGGAAUUGUAGCAUCGUACACACAUACUUACCUUCGUGCCGUACAAAUUUUAUACCUUGAACACACAGGCUUACGCGUUGGAAAGCAAGUUAUAUAUAUGCUUCGGUAUAUAUGCCAUAGAGUGUGAAAGCCACGUUUUCAACUCAUAUGUACGCGUCCACACACACACACACACACCCAAAAGUGUAUUUUAUAUAACCUGAGUCGAGUUAUUUGGGACUAUAGCUCAAAUAGUUUGGUUGGUGGUAAUGACACAUCAAAGGCUAAAUAUUGGUUAGUCGAUGCAACUUUAUACGGAGACCGAUAGCAUACAAGUACCGUAAGGGAACGAUGAAAAGCACCCUAUUGAGUUCACGCCGUCUUAGAAAUUAUGGCCUCGGCCACUUUUCUUAUGACGCGCAUACAACUACAGUGGGAGUGAAAGAGAGAGU
rnacentral:rRNA from 1 species